AGCAGCCGCGGUAAUUCCAGCUCCAAUAGCGUAUAUUAAAGUUGUUGCAGUUAAAAGCUCGUAGUUGAAUUUCGGGAUCAAUUAGUCGGUCGUGCCUCUGGUACGUACUGGUUUUAUUGGUUCCUCCCUUCUGACGAAACAUGAUGUCAUUAAUUUGGUGUCGUGGAGAAUCAGGACUGUUACCUUGAAAAAUUAGAGUGUUUAUAGCAGGCUAACGCUUGAAUACAUUAGCAUGGAAUAAUGAAAUAGGACGUUCGACCCUAUUUUGUUGGUUUCUAGGAUCGACGUAAUGAUUAAUAGGGAUAGUUGGGGGCAUUAGUAUUCAAUUGUCAGAGGUGAAAUUCUUGGAUUUAUUGAAGACUAACUACUGCGAAAGCAUUUGCCAAGGAUGUUUUCAUUAAUCAAGAACGAAAGUUAGGGAUCGAAGACGAUCAGAUACCGUCGUAGUCUUAACCAUAAACUAUGACCACGUAGGGAUCGGGAUGAUUAGUUAAUUUUUAAUGUACUCUAUUACCGGCGU
rnacentral:misc_RNA from 1 species